rnacentral:rRNA from 1 species
UUCCUCUUGUUGUGAAUAAGGGGUAGGCCCUGCUCAGUGUAGCUAGAGUAAUGUCUGUUAUAAAUAGCGGCGUUAACGUGAGCGUCCUAAGGUAGCGCGAUAAUUUGCCCUUUAAUUGGGGGAUGGUAUGAAUGGGUUAACACGGAAGUUGCUGUGUCAUAGAAAAAGGUUGAAAUUAACCUCAAGGUGAAGAGGCCUUGAUAAAGAAGAAGGACGACAAGACCCUAUGAAGCUUUAUCUUAACAGGGGUGCAUCCACCUUUGUACGGGUUUGAUGGGAGAUCAGUGAAAAUAAGUCUUUUACUGUUGUAACUGGCUUACAGGCAGUGGCUGUUGUUAACAAGUAUGAUUAGCUACUCUAGGGAUAACAGCGCAAUUUUUCCCAAGAGAUGGUAUUGAAGGAUAAGGUUGCGACCUCGAUGUUGGCUUUAGGUAUCCAGGAGGUGUAGAGGCUUCCAUAGGUGGGUCUGUUCGCCCUUUAAAACCUA